CAGCGCGUGCGCAGUGAAAGUUGGUCCGUCCUGUUGCCCCCCGCAAGAACAUCGACUGGCGGCAGUGGCUGGUUGUAGAAAAGAGGAGUCAUCUGAAAAAGGUUCCGGAGCACCAAGCAGGAGGGUUCUGUUCCCCAGAAGAGUUUUAACCCUUAGCCCCCCCCCCACCAUCUCGGAAUACAAAAUACGUGGUUUGAUUGAGCAGCACAGAGAUGCCGUCUGUGUUCUGCUACUAUGCAAAAUCUCAGCGCCACGGGAGCAGCCAAACUAAUGUGGCCCCCAGACUCUCUGCUUAAAGAAAUCAGCCUUUACCGAUGGUCCAAAGGACGAGUUUCUGGCUCCUGCAUCUUAAGUUCGGUCCCCCCGGCUCCACCCCAAGUGGACAGAAAAAUGAGGGCAGAGCAAAAACUACGAGGAUUUUGAAGUGGAUUUUCAGUCUGGGAGAUCUCUCGGCUGAGCCCAGGAGGAGAAGGAUUGACCAAGAAGAUUGAUGAGGGCAGAGUGGUGGAUCUAUGUGGAUCUUUUCGGCAUGGGUUCUGCACGGUAGACUGGACGG